rnacentral:rRNA from 1 species
GAUGAACGCUGGCGGCGUGCCUAACACAUGCAAGUCGAACGGAGAUUCCGGACGGUCGCUUUCGGAUGGAAGACGGCAGUUCUUAGUGGCGGACGGGUGAGUAACGCCUGGGCAACUUGCCUUAUACCGGGGGAUCGCAGCUGGAAACGGCUGGUAAGACCGACUACAUCGGCGAAUAGGCAUGGUUUUGCCGGCAAAUGAGCAUUCAGGUAUAGGAUGGGCCCGCGUCCGUUUCGCCAGUUGGCAGGGGAAAAGCCUACCAAAGCAACGAUCGGUAGCCGGGAUGAGAGGCCGGACCGACACAUUGGGAGUGAGACGCAGCCGGAACUCCUACGCGAGGCGGCAGUGGGUGAUAUUGCAAAAUGGAGGAAGCGCUGAUGCAGCGACGCCGCGUGAGUGAAGUAGUAUUGCGGGAUGUAAAGCGCUAUCAGCAGUGCAGAUGUUGACGGUACCUGAAUAAGAAGCCCCGGCUAACUACGUG